AUACGUAGGUGGCAAGCGUUGUCCGGAAUUAUUGGGCGUAAAGCGCGCGCAGGUGGUUCCUUAAGUCUGAUGUGAAAGCCCCCGGCUCAACCGGGGAGGGUCAUUGGAAACUGGGGAACUUGAGUGCAGAAGAGGAUAGCGGAAUUCCAAGUGUAGCGGUGAAAUGCGUAGAGAUUUGGAGGAACACCAGUGGCGAAGGCGAAUGUUGGGUCUGUAACUGACACUGAGGCGCGAAAGCGUGGGGAGCAAACAGGAUUAGAUACCCUGGUAGUCCACGCCGUAAACGAUGAGUGCUAAGUGUUGGGGGGUUUCCGCCCCUCAGUGCUGCAGCUAACGCAUUAAGCACUCCGCCUGGGGAGUACGGUCGCAAGACUGAAACUCAAAGGAAUUGACGGGG
rnacentral:rRNA from 1 species